rnacentral:rRNA from 1 species
AUUGAACGCUGGCGGCAGGCCUAACACAUGCAAGUCGAACGAGUGGCGGACGGGUGAGUAAUGUAUGGGGAACUGCCCGAUGGAGGGGGAUAACUACUGGAAACGGUGGCUAAUACCGCAUACUAUCGGAUGAACCCAGAUGGGAUUAGCUAGUAGGUGGGGUAACGGCUCACCUAGGCGACGAUCCCUAGCUGGUCUGAGAGGAUGACCAGCCACACUGGAACUGAGACACGGCCCAGACUCCUACGGGAGGCAGCAGUGGGGAAUAUUGCGCAAUGGGCGCAAGCCUGAUGCAGCCAUGCCGCGUGUAUGAAGAAGGCCUUAGGGUCGUAAAGUACUUUCAUCGGGGAGGCGUUACCCGAAGAGGAAGCCACGGCUAACUCCGUGCCAGCAGCCGCGGUAAUUC